AUCGCUCGCGAUGUUUAACUGACAUGAUUGUGGGACGUCCUACCGGUGGACUUAGCCUCUAUCUCUUCGGAUUUAGGGGCGGUCCAGCUAAUAUCCCAUCGCGGUGCUUUUCAUCGAGUGUCGAGGUGGGCCGGUACGUUUACUUUGAACAAAUUAGAGUGCUCAAAGCAGGCCAUCCUCGCCUGAAUACUGUGUGCAUGGAAUAAUGGAAUAGGACCUCGGUUCUAUAAACCUCACCAGGCCCGGACACCGGAAGGAUUGACAGAUUGAUAGCUCUUUCUUGAUUCGGUGGGUGGUGGUGCAUGGCCGUUCUUAGUUGGUGGAGCGAUUUGUCUGGUUAAUUCCGAUAACGAACGAGACUCUAGCCUGCUAAAUAGGCGUUACUUCUGGUAUCUCGAAGGCCCUCGGCUUCGGUCGAGCGGUUUUUACUACCGACGUACUAACAAAUCUUCUUAGAGGGACAGGCGGCGUCUAGCCGCACGAGAUUGAGCAAUAACAGGUCUGUAAUGCCCUUAGAUGUUCUGGGCCGCACGCGCGCUACACUGAAGGAAUCAGCGUGUCUUCCCUGACCGAAAGGCCCGGGUAACCCGCUGAACCUCCUUCGUGCUAGGGAUUGGGGCUUGCAAUUAUUCCCCAUGAACGAGGAAUUCCCAGUAAGCGCGAGUCAUAAGCUCGCGUUGAUUACGUCCCUGCCCUUUGUACACACCGCCCGUCGCUACUACCGAUUGAAUGAUUUAGUGAGGUCUUCGGACUGGUGCGCGGUAAUGUAAUUCUUACGUUGCCGAUUGCGCCGGGAAGAUGACCAAACUUGAUCAUUUAGAGGAAGUAAAAGUCGUAACAAGGUUUCCGUAGGUGA
rnacentral:rRNA from 1 species